CCUACGGGAGGCUGCAGUGGGGAAUAUUGCACAAUGGGCGCAAGCCUGAUGCAGCCAUGCCGCGUGUGUGAAGAAGGCCUUCGGGUUGUAAAGCACUUUCAGCGGGGAGGAAGGCGGUGAGGUUAAUAACCUCAUCGAUUGACGUUACCCGCAGAAGAAGCACCGGCUAACUCCGUGCCAGCAGCCGCGGUAAUACGGAGGGUGCAAGCGUUAAUCGGAAUUACUGGGCGUAAAGCGCACGCAGGCGGUCUGUCAAGUCGGAUGUGAAAUCCCCGGGCUCAACCUGGGAACUGCAUUCGAAACUGGCAGGCUAGAGUCGUGUAGAGGGGGGUAGAAUUCCAGGUGUGGCGGUGAAAUGCGUAGAGAUCUGGAGGAAUACCGGUGGCGAAGGCGGCCCCCUGGACAAAGACUGACGCUCAGGUGCGAAAGCGUGGGGAGCAAACAGGAUUAGAUACCCUAGUAGUC
rnacentral:rRNA from 1 species